GCAGAGCUGCACCCUAAUUAGAGUGACAAGAGUGGUUUGUUUCCAGGAUUUCUGCAUGAGAAAGGAGACUUGCUUGAUGAAAUGAUAAGAAAAAUGGAAGCUUUGGCUCAAGGUGGUCUGAAUCCAGCUAAGAUCACUGCGACGGAGGAGCUGCCACUGAUUACCUUCUCUACUGCCAGGCCACCCAGUAAGGGCCUUUGGUGGAACCAGAAACACUCCUUGGCUAUGAGGGCUUUGAGCAGGAGCCCUCUGGAGGGGUCAGGAAGGAAAUUUACUCAGAGAAGCAGCCUCCUGGAUUAUAUAUUCCUUUCUAGAUGCCAAGGAGACAUCGGCCUUUGAGGGAUAUACAAACAAUUAGAUUUCCCCUAUAGCUGCUGUAGAUACCCGCUGCCUUCGGGGUGAUACCUUCAGGCCCAGGGGACGCCUGCUGCUCCUGUCCAUCUGUGAGUCUGUUGCAGUUUAGUCACAGAUUUCAACCAGACCAGGAACCUGGGUUCGGAGAGCGGGAUGGCAAAGGAUGGAGGAAUGCAGCUUUAAAGACCAGGUGGAAAGUGCACCGUUAUUUCCCAAGUGUGGUAAAGUGAAAUUGAAGUUGCUCCAGGCCCAGGAUCAGAGAUGCAGGUCAAUUUAUCAUUUAUUUUGUGAUGUUCAUAAAGCUGUUCAGCAUUUGAAUAGUGUUAUCAUUAAAUUGCAGCUGAUAUUAUUCUUCUCAUUUUUCUACCAUGUCAGUGUUACAGAGAAAAAAGCCAAAACCACCCACUUAGAAAAAUUGUACCUUGAAGGUAGAAGAAAAUCUUCUCCUCCUUGCAUCUCUUUCACCCGAGAAAUAAAACCCAUGCAACUGAAUUAUUUUCAGGCAUCUGUAUCAAGCUUUCACCCUCUUGCUUGUGUUGGAUUUGAAUCUCUUAAGUCUUUUUUCCUGACAGUAAGCCCAAGUUUUUGAUUUCUGAAAUUCAACCAUGUUGUUCCAAUUUGUGCCUUUUGCACAGCCCUCACCCAUUCUUCCCAGUUGGUUGCAGUCCCUUGAAGUGUCUUCCAGAGCUGUAUUUCUCAUUAGCCAUUGUUUAGUGUAACUGUGUGGUGUGUGUGUGUGUGUGUGUGUUCACUCCACUUUCAUUUCAGAAGGAUUCAUUCCCCCAGAGGUUCUAUCCGUGUUUUGGUUUUGCCGGGUUUCUUUUCUAAAACAGCCUUUCAUCUUUAAUGCCAGACUGAAGGGAGGAAACCUCAGAUCCCAACAUGAAUGGUGGGAAAGGACUUCAGUCAUUCAGGGGACACGUUUGGGAGACAGGCGGGCAGGCUUCCUUAGGGGAGAGGAAAGGGUGAAGGACUGUGCAACUGAAACUGUGUGGGGACUAACAGUUCUAGGAACCCUUCUUGUGGGUGACCCCUAUAACUGGUCUGAGUUUCCCUGACCAAGGCUGGUGUAGACAAACUGCAAGAAGCCUGGAAGAUUGCAUAAGGCGUCUGUUCCCCUCAUUUUUAUACCUGUAAAAAGCAAGCCUUUUGCCAUGAAUCAAAGAGGAUGAAAUUUGAAGUGAUGUGACAACAAAGGACGGCCGGUGCUUGUACUAUUUUACAGUCUUCAAUCUAAAAAUUAGAGUAUGAUCUGUUGCUGAUAAUUUUGUUGUUGUUGUUGUUGAUUAUGAGAUGAUUAUAUUUAGUAUGUUUUCUUCAGGCUGGGAGGGGCAGUGAUUGGGUGCUUUGUUUUUGAAAUAAAAGAUCCCAAGUCUUGUUACGUGCUUUAAUUAGCACCUUCAGCACUUGUUUCCACCUUACACAGGAACUGAUGAAACCUGUUGAACUUAAUGUCAAUCUUCUUGUUGACUUCAAUAGACAGCAGAACAGAUCCAAGACCUGUGCUGAGCUGGCUUCCAUACGUUUUAACAAACACAAUUCUACCGCCUCUCUCAAGGCUUUCACAGAAUCACAGAAUGAUACGGGGUUGGAAGGAACCUCUGGAGAUCAUCUAGUCCAACCCCCCUGCCAAAGCAGGUCCUCCUAGAGCAGGUUGCACAGGAACGUGUCCAGGUGGG